GGCCCUACGGGGUGCACCAGUCGCGAAAACUUCACAAUGGAGGCAACUCCGAUGAGGGAAUUCCUAGUGCUAGUACAUUAGUAUUAGCUUUUCUUUAGUAUAGAACGCUAAAGGAAUAAGGGCUGGGUAAGACGGGUGCCAGCCGCCGCGGUAA
rnacentral:rRNA from 1 species